rnacentral:rRNA from 1 species
AACGAACGCUGGCGGCAUGCCUAACACAUGCAAGUCGAACGAGACCUUCGGGUCUAGGGGCGCACGGGUGCGUAACGCGUGGGAACCUGCCCUUAGGUUCGGAAUAACUCCCCGAAAGGGGUGCUAAUACCGGAUAAUGUCUUCGGACCAAAGAUUUAUCGCCUUUGGAUGGGCCCGCGUUGGAUUAGCUAGUUGGUAGGGUAAAAGCCUACCAAGGCGACGAUCCAUAGCUGGUCUGGGAGGAUGAUCAGCCACACUGGGACUGAGACACGGCCCAGACUCCUACGGGAGGCAGCAGUGGGGAAUAUUGGACAAUGGGCGAAAGCCUGAUCCAGCAAUGCCGCGUGAGUGAUGAAGGCCUUAGGGUUGUAAAGCUCUUUUACCCGGGAUGAUAAUGACAGUACCGGGAGAAUAAGCUCCGGCUAACUCCGUG